rnacentral:rRNA from 1 species
AGAGUUUGAUCCUGGCUCAGGAUGAACGCUGGCGGCGUGCUUAACACAUGCAAGUCGAACGGGAAACCUUUUAUUGAAGCUUCGGCAGAUUUAGCUGGUUUCUAGUGGCGGACGGGUGAGUAACGCGUGGGUAACCUGCCUUAUACAGGGGGAUAACAACCAGAAAUGGUUGCUAAUACCGCAUAAGCGCACAGGACCGCAUGGUCCGGUGUGAAAAACUCCGGUGGUAUAAGAUGGACCCGCGUUGGAUUAGCUAGUUGGCAGGGUAAUGGCUCACCAAGGCGACGAUCAGUAGCCGACCUGAGAGGGUGAUCGGCCACAUUGGAACUGAGACACGGUCCAAACUCCUACGGGAGGCAGCAGUGGGGAAUAUUGCACAAUGGGCGAAAGCCUGAUGCAGCAACGCCGCGUGAGCGAUGAAGGCCUUCGGGUCGUAAAGCUCUGUCCUCAAGGAAGAUAAUGACGGUACUUGAGGAGGAAGCCCCGGCUAACUACGUGCCAGCAGCCGCGGUAAUACGUAGGGGGCUAGCGUUAUCCGGAUUUACUGGGCGUAAAGGGUGCGUAGGCGGUCUUUUAAGUCAGGAGUGAAAGGCUACGGCUCAACCGUAGUAAGCUCUUGAAACUGGAGGACUUGAGUGCAGGAGAGGAGAGUGGAAUUCCUAGUGUAGCGGUGAAAUGCGUAGAUAUUAGGAGGAACACCAGUAGCGAAGGCGGCUCUCUGGACUGUAACUGACGCUGAGGCACGAAAGCGUGGGGAGCAAACAGGAUUAGAUACCCUGGUAGUCCACGCCGUAAACGAUGAGUACUAGCUGUCGGAGGUUACCCCCUUCGGUGGCGCAGCUAACGCAUUAAGUACUCCGCCUGGGGAGUACGCUCGCAAGAGUGAAACUCAAAGGAAUUGACGGGGACCCGCACAAGUAGCGGAGCAUGUGGUUUAAUUCGAAGCAACGCGAAGAACCUUACCUAAGCUUGACAUCCUUUUGACCGAUGCCUAAUCGCAUUUUUCCCUUCGGGGACAGAAGUGACAGGUGGUGCAUGGUUGUCGUCAGCUCGUGUCGUGAGAUGUUGGGUUAAGUCCCGCAACGAGCGCAACCCUUGCCUUUAGUUGCCAUCAUUAAGUUGGGCACUCUAGAGGGACUGCCAGGGAUAACCUGGAGGAAGGUGGGGAUGACGUCAAAUCAUCAUGCCCCUUAUGCUUAGGGCUACACACGUGCUACAAUGGGUGGUACAGAGGGCAGCGAAGUCGUGAGGCCAAGCUAAUCCCUUAAAGCCAUUCUCAGUUCGGAUUGUAGGCUGAAACUCGCCUACAUGAAGCUGGAGUUACUAGUAAUCGCAGAUCAGAAUGCUGCGGUGAAUGCGUUCCCGGGUCUUGCACUCACCGCCCGUCA